rnacentral:rRNA from 1 species
UACAGAGGUCCCAAGCGUUGUUCGGAUUCAUUGGGCGUAAAGGGUGCGUAGGCGGCGCGGUAAGUCGGGUGUGAAAUCUCGGGGCUUAACUCCGAAACUGCAUUCGAUACUGCGGUGCUUGAGGACUGGAGAAGAGACUGGAAUUCAUGGUGUAGCAGUGAAAUGCGUAGAGAUCAUGAGGAAGACCAGUGGCGAAGGCGGGUCUCUGGACAGUUCCUGACACUGAGGCACGAAGGCCAGGGGAGCAAACGGG